UAACGCUGCUCUACAAUUUCUUCCUCUCACAAUGUUUUUUUGUGGAUAAUGAUGAGAUUAGGCACACUGCUGAAAGGAGAGCUAUUACAGUCCUCAACUGGAGAACCUCGUCUCUCUCUCUCUCCCUCUGAGCGGCGCUGGACCGGCAAUCAGCGCUCAACUACUUUAGGCGGCAAACGCAAAGUAGCUGAACAAACACUCGUGUGCGGCACACCCACGGUGCCUCUCGGCAAUGAUGACUGCAAUUAUCCAGCUGUUUAACCGGAUCACAAUGGGGGCCCACUACUGGAGCUGCACUCAGUGGAAGCGGUGGAAAGGGCUCCAGGGCGACGAAACGUGAGUGUUACGAAAGCCCAUUUAUGUCAGCUGCAACGGGAGCAUUCAUGGAUCCAGAGAGAAAAGGACUCAGGAGUUGGGAUGUUGUGGUCCUGUAGUGGUUGCCGUCUUCUUAUCUGCUGUUUCCUGAUUCCCCACGAGCAUCUAUCUGGAACGUCCCUGACCUUCAGGCCACGUAUACAACUGCAAAUUGUGAACGCAAACACGUUAGCGAUAGCAUGUUAGCCUUGUUACUAGUAAACAAGUUGAUACCAAU